rnacentral:rRNA from 1 species
UACGGGAGGCAGCAGUGGGGAAUAUUGCACAAUGGGGGAAACCCUGAUGCAGCGACGCCGCGUGAGUGAUGAAGUAUUUCGGUAUGUAAAGCUCUAUCAGCAGGGAAGAAAAUGACGGUACCUGACUAAGAGGCCCCGGCUAACUACGUGCCAGCAGCCGCGGUAAU